GAUAAACGCUGGCGGCGUGCCUAACACAUGCAAGUCGAACGAUCCCGCAAGGGAGAGUGGCGGAAGGGUGAGUAACACGUGGGAAUCUACCUCCUCGCAGGGAACAACCUCUCGAAAGAGAGGCUAAUACCCAAAAGGGUCAGAAAUGAUCAGAGUCGAAAGGCGUGAGGAGAGGAGCCCGCGGCCCAUCAGCUAGUUGGUGAGGUAAUGGCUUACCAAGGCUACGACGGGUAGGGGAUCUGAGAGGAUGUCCCCCACACUGGAACUGAAACACGGUCCAGACGCCUACGGGUGGCAGCAGUGAGGAAUAUUGGACAAUGGGCGAAAGCCCGAUCCAGCAACGCCGCGUGGAGGAUGAAGGCCUUCGGUCGGUAAACUUAC
rnacentral:rRNA from 1 species